GGGCGCAUAGCUCAGUUGGUAGAGCAGCUGACUCUUAAUCAGCGGGUCCCAGGUUCGAGCCCUGGUGCGCCCACCA
rnacentral:tRNA from 248 species